rnacentral:rRNA from 1 species
GACGAACGCUGGCGGCGUGCUUAACACAUGCAAGUCGAACGGAAAGGCCUGCUUUCCCUUGUGGAUUGCGGGUACUCGAGUGGCGAACGGGUGAGUAACACGUGAGUGAUCUGCCCCCAACUUGGGUAUAAGCCUGGGAAACUGGGUCUAAUUCCCGUUAGGACUGCAGGGUGGUGCCUGUGGUGGAAAACGAUCUUCUAGUGGUUGGGGAUGAGCCCGCGGCCUAUCAGCUUGUUGGUGGGGUAAUGGCCUACCAAGGCGGCGACGGGUAGCCGGCCUGGGAGGGGCGACGGCGACACUGGGACUGGGAUACGGCCCAGACGCCUACGAGAAGCAGCAGUGGGGAAGAUUGGACAGUGGGCGGAAGGCUGAUGCAGCGACGCCGCGUGGGGGAUGACGGCCUUCGAGUUGUAAGCUACUUUCGACCGCGAUAAAGCCACCUGGUUGGGAGGAUGGUGACGGUAGUGGUAGAAGAAGCACCGGCUAACUACGUG